rnacentral:misc_RNA from 1 species
AAUGUCUCGUCUUGGCCCGUAGCUUGUGAUUUUUGUCCCAACUGAACGACUCUCGUCGUGGCAUUUGCAUGCCCCUUCGAGUAUUGUCAUCGAGGAAUGC